GGGCACUUGGCACAGUUGGUAGCGCGCACGCUUCGCAUUUGAUUUGCGUGAGGUCGGGAGUUCGACUCUCCCAGUGUCCA